AUUGAACGCUGGCGGCAUGCCUUACACAUGCAAGUCGAACGGUAACAGGUCUUCGGAUGCUGACGAGUGGCGAACGGGUGAGUAAUACAUCGGAACGUGCCCGAGAGUGGGGGAUAACGAGGCGAAAGCUUUGCUAAUACCGCAUACGAUCUCAGGAUGAAAGCAGGGGACCGCAAGGCCUUGCGCUCACGGAGCGGCCGAUGGCAGAGUAGGUAGUUGGUGGGAUAAAAGCUUACCAAGCCGACGAUCUGUAGCUGGUCUGAGAGGACGACCAGCGCCGCUGGGACUGAGACACGGCCCAGACUCCUACGGGAGGCAGCAGUGGGGAAUUUUGGACAAUGGGCGCAAGCCUGAUCCAGCCAUGCCGCGUGCAUGAUGAAGGCCUUCGGGUUGUAAACUGCUUUUGUACGGAACGAAAAGACUCUGGUUAAUACCUGGGGUCCAUGACGGUACCGUAAGAAUAAGCACCGGCUAACUACGUGCCAGCCGCCGCAGUAAAAC
rnacentral:rRNA from 1 species